GUCCGUCUGGCUCUUACUCUGAGAGACGUUCGGGCCCGCGAGGCUCUGGACUCACGUUUGAAUUUGUGGCGCGUAGUGUCCGAGGUGCGGAGUGGAGCUGGGCGUCUUGCUGGAGUCAGCAACUGGGCGGUGAGAGACCCUGAGCGGAGAAUGACCAGAGGGUCGGCCGGCGCUGGAGGGGCCCCGAGUCCAACAGGCCUCCUCGGAAUGCGGCACUUCCACCGCGCUGCUUCCCUCGCCUGAGGCAGGUCCUCUGCUCGCCUCCUCGCAGCCUCUAGAUUCUUCCCUCGCGCCGUUUUCCUCGCGUCUGAGAGACUGUGCGCCCGCCCGCUUCUGUCACCCCCGAAGGAAGGCUGCUCCUAACGCUACCUUCCGGGGUCUCUCCGCUUCCAUCCCUCCCCAGAAGCAGCCCUCCAGCGCUGACGUGUUUACGUCUCCCCCCACUAUCCUGCGCCCCCCCAUCUCUGUCAUAAUUACAGCCUCCUUCCAUCACCAACACUCUCAGAAACUUUCUCCCUGCCUCUGACUGUGGAAAAAUGUCUCCUGAGCAACCUGGUGAGCGUCCCACACCUCAGAGUCCAGAACGUUCCUCAUCAAGAAAGAGGGUGCUGCGGUCCUCCCCUUCCCGCCUGGGACGUAGCGAGGGCACGUGGAAAGCAGCGCGUGAAAGCGCUUUGCAAAGCGGUACGGAAAUGUAAGUUACUUGUUGCAGUUGCUGACUCUGGAUGAUGGUGGAUUCAUCUCGAAAACAUGAUUAUUUUAUUCUUGGUCAGACUCUGUUGAUAUAGAGAAGUUUCGUCUUGGGGUUAUGACUGCUGUCCAGAUCUUAAAGCAAGAAAGCCGAUUAAGAAGCAAUAUCCUGAGAUACAUCUUUCUCUGAUAGAAAUUUUGUCUUGGGAAAAGCUUUGACCAGAUCGUAGUGACAGAAAUGAGAGGCUGGGCCAGUCUUUGGCGCCUGCCCUUGGCUCAGCGCCCGGUGCCAACAGAACACCUUUCAGGAUCCACAGCAACGCAGACAACGAGUCCAGGAUCCCGGCCUCUGCUUGGAACGGAACAGUGUCAUGGCGGAGACGACGGCCUUUGUCUUGCUGGGUGUGAAAGCAUCCGCUUUGCAGGCUCCACUGCGGCAGAAUCAAGUUUAAAGGAAAAAGUGAUUAAAGUCAGCUUUGUGCCUCUUUGGUGUGGAAGACCCCCAAACCCCAAGUAGCCGAGUCCCUGGGUCCGAGGAAGGGCUCAUAGUUGGAGCAGCCUAGGCUGUAAUCCUGGCACUUGCGCCUUCGGUUGCUGCUUGCUGUUCGCUCCUGGGGGUCUGGAUAAUCUCCCUUGGCUUUACCGCACUGUCUGGCCCGCAUACAGGGCCCCCGUAACAUAUACCCGCUGCUGCUAUCGCACGAAACUGUGGCGUUGCCCCUGAAUGGAUGGCACUGUGCCAACUCUUCUGCCAUCCGCCCUUGCAGCUUUUUUCUUUCCUGCCUCCCUCCCCUUCUUCUCCUCCUCCUCCCGUCGACUUGACGUUAAUUAACACACGGGUUAAUUGAUUUUAAAAGCCGAAGAAUUACAGUUAACUUUUCCCACAGGGUACAGACGCCAGCCGCUUGGCACACUCUGCCUUUCGCACUGGUGCAGGGGGGCAGGGAGAGCCCGCAGCAAACCUAGCAACUGCUGAGGGAACGUUGCCUGCUUAUUGGAGUAGCGCCGAUAGAAGUCGACGUGGCACUGCCUCGUCCUUACCGUAUGGAGAGCCAUUCUAUAUUUUGUUAAAUAAUCAAAGCACAACCCUGUCUUUCUUCUUCUCCUUUCCUCGUUCAAAACAGGAAAACCCUUCAGAAGUUCUUAUGGGGAAAAAAUAUCCCUCCCCCAAACUAUUUAUCUCAUCCAUAAUAUGCUUUUUUUCCAAUAAGAAGAAAAUACGUGAUGCCUGUUUUUUUUUAAUUACAAGAAGGAAAGCUACUCUUUCCCUAAACAUCACAGGCAAAGAAGAUUUUUUUAAAGAAAAAGUUCCAUAAAGUUUCUUUCUCUAUAUCUCAGUAUUUUGUUUUGUUUCUAUUCCCCUUGACUCAGAUGGGUUAUUUAUGGUGAAAGAUUUCAGUAAGAAA
ensembl:lncRNA